UACGACUACAUAUCAGGCAUAUCAAUAAGCGGAGGAAAAGAAACUAACUAGGAUUCCCUCAGUAACGGCGAGUGAAGCGGGAAGAGCUCAAAUUUGAAAUCUUCAAGGUUUUACCUUGACGAAUUGUAGUUUAAAGAAGUGUUUUCUGUUGGAGUUUUGGUAAAAGUUCUUUGGAAUAGGACAUCAUAGAGGGUGAGAAUCCCGUAUUUGACCAUUAUUUCCAGCUUUGUGAUACACUUUCAAAGAGUCGGAUUGUUUGGGAAUGCAGUCCAAAAUGGGUGGUAAAUUUCAUCUAAAGCUAAAUAUUGGCGAGAGACCGAUAGCGAACAAGUACCGUGAGGGAAAGAUGAAAAGAACUUUGAAAAGAGAGUUAAACAGUACGUGAAAUUGUCAAAAGGGAAGCGUUUGACACCAGUGUUGUUUCUAGCGAAAAUCAAUUUAUGAUGGCUUGAUGCUAAGCUUUAAGUACUUUAUCCGCUUGUUGUUUAGUUUUCUUGUCUUUGUGAAUGCACUUUUCGUUGAACAAGUCAACAUCAAUUUCUUUUGCUGUAAAAGGGUAAGAGGAAGGUGGCUUCGGCUUCGGUUGAAGUGUUUAUAGCCUUUUAUCUCUGCAGUCGGAGAGAUUGAGGCCUGCAGCGUAGACUCUUCGGGGUUAGAUACGUCGGUGCUAAGCUAUAGCUUUUCAUAGACAACUUGUUGACUAUGUUUAGUCAUGUGGCUUACCCGCUGGCGCUAUUUUACCUACGCUUAGGAUGUUGACACACGCGCGUGCUCG
rnacentral:rRNA from 1 species